rnacentral:rRNA from 1 species
GACGAACGCUGGCGGCGUGCUUAACACAUGCAAGUCGAACGGAAAGGCCCUGCUUUUGUGGGGUGCUCGAGUGGCGAACGGGUGAGUAACACGUGAGCAACCUGCCCUUGACUUUGGGAUAACUUCAGGAAACUGGGGCUAAUACCGGAUAGGAGCUCCUGCUGCAUGGUGGGGGUUGGAAAGUUUCGGCGGUUGGGGAUGGACUCGCGGCUUAUCAGCUUGUUGGUGGGGUAGUGGCUUACCAAGGCUUUGACGGGUAGCCGGCCUGAGAGGGUGACCGGCCACAUUGGGACUGAGAUACGGCCCAGACUCCUGCGGGAGGCAGCAGUGGGGAAUAUUGCACAAUGGGCGGAAGCCUGAUGCAGCAACGCCGCGUGCGGGAUGACGGCCUUCGGGUUGUAAACCGCUUUCGCCUGUGACGAAGCGUGAGUGACGGUAAUGGGUAAAGAAGCACCGGCUAACUACGUG